GAUGAACGCUGGCGGCGUGCCUAAUACAUGCAAGUCGAGCGAACAGAUAAGGAGCUUGCUCCUUUGACGUUAGCGGCGGACGGGUGAGUAACACGUGGGUAACCUACCUAUAAGACUGGAAUAACUCCGGGAAACCGGGGCUAAUGCCGGAUAACAUUUAGAACCGCAUGGUUCUAAAGUGAAAGAUGGUUUUGCUAUCACUUAUAGAUGGACCCGCGCCGUAUUAGCUAGUUGGUAAGGUAACGGCUUACCAAGGCAACGAUACGUAGCCGACCUGAGAGGGUGAUCCGCCACACUGUAACUGAGACACGGUCCAGACUCCUACGGGAGGCAUCAGUAGGGAAUCUUCCGCAAUGGGCGAAAGCCUGACGGAGCAACGCCGCGUGAGUGAUGAAGGUCUUCGGAUCGUAAAACUCUGUUAUUAGGGAAGAACAAAUGUGUAAGUAACUGUGCACGUCUUGACGGUACCUAAUCAGAAAGCCACGGCUAACUACGUG
rnacentral:rRNA from 1 species